rnacentral:rRNA from 1 species
UACAGAGGUCCCAAGCGUUGUUCGGAUUCACUGGGCGUAAAGGGUGCGUAGGCGGUCGGGUAAGUCUGACGUGAAAUCUUCAAGCUUAACUUGGAAACUGCGUCGGAUACUAUUCGGCUGGAGGAAUGGAGGGGAGACUGGAAUACUUGGUGUAGCAGUGAAAUGCGUAGAUAUCAAGUGGAACACCAGUGGCGAAGGCGGGUCUCUGGGCCGAUACUGACGCUGAGGAGCGAAAGCGUGGGGAGCGAACAGG